ACAUUUCUUUUAGAUUAAAUUAAAAGUAUAGCCUGCCCACUGUAGUUAUAAAGGGCCGCAGUAUUUUGACUGUGCAAAGGUAGCAUAAUCAUUAGUCUUUUAAUUGAGGAAUGGAAUGAAUGGCUGGAUAAAACUUGUCUUUUUUUAAAUUAAUAAUAAAAUUUUGAUUAAAAGUGAAAAUACUUUUUUGUUUAAAAAAGACGAUAAGACCCUAUAGAAUUUAAUUUUAUUUUUUUUUAAAAAAAUAAAUAAAAUUUUAUUGGGGCAGUAUAAGAAUAUAAAUAAUUUCUUUAAAUAAAAAUAAUAAUUUAAAUAAGUGUAUCUUUUAUUAUAAAAUAAUUAAAAAAUUACCUUAGGGAUAACAGCGUAAUUAUUUUUGAGAGUUCAUAUCGACAAAUUAUUUUGCGACCUCGAUGUUGAAUUAAAAUACCUAAUUGGGGCAGAUUUUUAUUAAGGUAGUCUGUUCGACUAUAAAACUUUUACAUGAUUUGAGU
rnacentral:rRNA from 1 species